rnacentral:misc_RNA from 1 species
UACGUAGGUGGCAAGCGUUGUCCGGAAUUAUUGGGCGUAAAGCGAGCGCAGGCGGUCUUUUAAGUCGGAUGUGAAAGCCCACGUCUCAACCGUGGAGGGUCAUUGGAAACUGGAAGACUUGAAUGCAGAAGAGUAAAGUGGAAUUCCAUGUGUAGCGGUGAAAUGCGUAGAUAUAUGGAGGGACACCAGUGGCGAAGGGGACUUUCUGGUCUGUACUUGACGCUGAGGCUCGAAAGCGUGGGGCGCGAACAGG